GACCUCCAAUCAGGAAGAAUACCGCUGAACUUAAGCUAUCAUAACGGAAGA
rnacentral:rRNA from 1 species